GAAGGAAUUAUCUAAAUUUCAAAAUAAUUUUAUUAAAAUCAAUUAUAAUCGUUAUUGUGUAAUCAAACAGCAAAAUUACAAUAUCAGGAAGUCCAUUAUCAUACAAGAACGAUCAAGGUUGAAAAGGUUAAAAAUCAAUAAAUAAUUCGCAAUCUACGAUUACGAUUUUUACAUUUAUUACGAUAAAUAUUAUAAAUACUUCAAUAGGCGCACUAAAUAUUCUAUUUUGAGUGUGUUAAUUUACAGACACUGUCGCUCUAUAAAAUGAAACUAUUUUCAAUACUUAUCUUAAUAUUAUAUUUUACAAUUUCCAUCAACGCAGAAUGCUGCUGUUGUAGUAGUUCAUAUUCAGGUUGUUGUACCAGCAAAUGUUACACGGUGAACUGUUGCAAAACAAUAUGUGAUAAUACCACAACAUCUUCAACAGAAUCACCACCAACUACCAUAACAUCACCUCCCUCAAUUCACAACUCAUCACAUUCAUCAAAAAGUAACUUAAACGCUGCCAUCACUUUGAGUAAUCAAGUCUAUAACUAUAAUAAUAUUUCAAAUCCUGUAAGAGUGUUCGCAUCAAAUGUUAACAACGUCUACGUUGUAAACAAACAAAAUUUUUCUAUGAAAGUAACAUUUCCGCCUAGAGACAAUACGACAACGAGUAUACCUUCAAGUACAAUUACUUCAACUUCAACCACUACGUCAAAUACUACUACUGCAACUCCACCCACUACUCCAUCGAGAAUUUGUUGUGUGAUACCGUGUUGGUAUGGUAUUUGUCAUCAAUCAAGAUGUGAACACAAUUGUUAUCAUCAACCUUACUAUUACAACGUCCAUUCAUGCCAGUCUUCUUAUGGUUGCGUAAGAAGGUCGCAUUGGAAUAGAAGAGUUUGUUCAGGAUAUUCCUGUGGAUAUAUUCAGCAAGAUUGUUCUAGUUGCUAUAGCUCUCAAUAUUAUUCUAGUUAUUCGGAAUAUUCAAGUUGUUAUGGAUGUUUCUAUUAAAAAUGUAUCUUUUGAAAAUAUUUUUGUAAUACCUAUGAAAUAAACAGAACUAUUAUUAAAAA